UGCGAUGUAGCUUAACGGCAGAGCAGGCCCCUCAUAAGGGCAAGAUGCUGGUUCGACUCCAGCCAUCGCUA
rnacentral:tRNA from 1 species